rnacentral:lncRNA from 1 species
UUGGUUUUCCACCUAACGUGUUUGGGCCAUUAGAUCAGAUCCAAUGGAUCUAAUCAUUUGAUGGACCUCGCUUUGACCCUUGGUCAACUCUGAUUCCCUCUUGGGUUGUAGUGCCGUUGGGUAUAUUUGUUUUGUUAUUUGGGCCCUCCUUUUCAUUUUCACACACCCCUUUUAAUUUAACAAAAAAAUUCCUUUUUAUUUAUUUGAUUUAAUUUUAUUUCAUUUUCUUAUUUUUUUUUAUUUUUCAUUUAUUUUGCAAUAUUUUAUUACUAUUUAAUAGUUUUAGUCUCAUUUUAUUUUUUCCAUUUUUAUUUUAUUAUUUUGAUUAUUUCCCUUUUAUUAUUAAAAAAUCAUAUUUUCUUUAAUUCAUUUUAUUUGUUUUGACUUGCAAUUUAAUUUU